CCUACGGGAGGCAGCAGUGAGGAAUAUUGGUCAAUGGGCGGGAGCCUGAACCAGCCAAGUCGCGUGAGGGAAGACGGUCCUAUGGAUUGUAAACCUCUUUAGGCGGGGAGCAAUGCCGGGCACGCGUGCCCGGAGGGAGAGUACCCGCAGAAUAAGCAUCGGCUAACUCCGUGCCAGCAGCCGCGGUAAUACGGAGGAUGCGAGCGUUAUCCGGAUGUAUUGGGUUUAAAGGGUGCGUAGGCGGAUUGUUAAGUCAGCGGUAAAAUGUCCGGGCUCAACCCGGGCCGGCCGUUGAAACUGGGGAUCUUGAGUGGGCGAGAAGUAUGCGGAAUGCGUGGUGUAGCGGUGAAAUGCAUAGAUAUCACGCAGAACUCCGAUUGCGAAGGCAGCAUACCGGCGCCCGACUGACGCUGAGGCACGAAAGCGUGGGGAUCGAACAGGAUUAGAUACCCUGGUAGUC
rnacentral:rRNA from 1 species